rnacentral:lncRNA from 1 species
GACAUGGGCUAAUAGCCAAUUCAUUCUGGGGAGGCAGUGGAGCUGAAAGAGAAACAAGGCUGAAAAGGUCGAUUAGCUUUCUCUUUGGUGGGGGAGGAGAAGGUAGCAGGAGGAUCUGUGCUUUGCCUUCAGUCCAUGUGGGUCUCUGGAGAGAAAUGGGAGCAAAGGAGCUGUUCUGUGGAUGACGACACAGCUGGCUGGGGUUUAGGUCCUGCCGGCCAGUUUCAUCGGGGAGCUUAUUAUUCCACUGGAGGAGCAGCAGAGGCUGGCGGAGGAGGGGGAUGGAUGCUGCAGACCUUCCCCCGCCCAGGUGCAGGACUGAAAGUUUUGGGUUGUGAGCUGACUGCUC